rnacentral:rRNA from 2 species
ACUGAUUGAUGGUGCUUGCACCUGAUUGACGAUGGAUCACCAGUGAGUGGCGGACGGGUGAGUAACACGUAGGUAACCUGCCCCGGAGCGGGGGAUAACAUUUGGAAACAGAUGCUAAUACCGCAUAACAACAAAAGCCACAUGGCUUUUGUUUGAAAGAUGGCUUUGGCUAUCACUCUGGGAUGGACCUGCGGUGCAUUAGCUAGUUGGUAAGGUAACGGCUUACCAAGGCGAUGAUGCAUAGCCGAGUUGAGAGACUGAUCGGCCACAAUGGAACUGAGACACGGUCCAUACUCCUACGGGAGGCAGCAGUAGGGAAUCUUCCACAAUGGGCGCAAGCCUGAUGGAGCAACACCGCGUGAGUGAAGAAGGGUUUCGGCUCGUAAAGCUCUGUUGUUGGAGAAGAACGUGCGUGAGAGUAA